GAAAUUGCUGUGUCGAACUUACAGUAUCCCUUUUUCGAACUGGAUAGACCUCAGUACCUGAAUUUUGGAGCCAUUGGUGCUGUUAUUGGUCACGAAUUUGAGCAUGGACUUCAUGGCAGAAGUCAAUAUUAUGUUAAGAGUGGCGAGAAGUUUUUCUGGUGGAGAAAUGAAACACAAGCAAAUUUGAGAAUCAGAUACAAGUGCUUCAUUGACCAAUAUAAUAAUUACAGUAUUAAUGGAAAAAAGGUAAAUGGCACAAGCUCGCUAGAUGACAAUCUGUCUGAUAAUGGAGGUUUGAGAGCAGCGUACCUGG